AUGAAGAAAAAAAAAGCCUAGCUAGAAUUAAUAUUUCAAAGUUUCAACUAUAUAUUAAAAUAAACAUUUAAAUUAAGGAGUAAAUAGUAAAUAUACAUACCUUAAUUAAUUGAUUCAUAGCCUUCGUUUUCAUGCUGGCCCCUGCUGGCUUAGGAAUCUUGGUGCCUCCGAAUAUAAAUUUGUUUGAUGAAUUUGGACUUUUAGUUUCAUUAUGGGUUUCUAGAACUUCAUAUAUAUUGUGAUAUCUAAAGCUCUUAAGGAUUGUGGAAGCAGACCCCCCCCACUUGCAAUGCACGCUUUGAAAUAGACUAUACAGUUCACGUGUCUAUAUGAUAAUUAAUUACCAUGCUAGUAUAAUUCAAUUAAAGCAUAUGAGAGAGCGACAAGCAUUCACUUUCUAUGCAGGUGAAGCAGUACGUACGUAGCAUAGGGUGAGGCCAAGAGACAUAUAUAGGAACCUAGCUAGCUACUUCAACAUAUAAUGAAAUGGUGGUCUCAUCUCAUCUCAUCUCUCUCUGCCAUAAUACUUCUGCUUUCUGGUGGUCCCAAUCCAACGGUUGGAGAUCUCUCUUUUCUACUUUCUCUGUCAAUGUCUCUCUAUGUUAGCCAUCUUCAGCAUGCGUUAUAAAGGAAUCACACAUUUUUAAUUAUUAUUUUCA